GAUGAAGAACGCAGCGAAAUGCGAUAAGUGAUGUGAAUUGCAGAAUUCAGUGAAUCAUCGAAUCUUUGAACGCACAUUGCGCCCUCUGGUAUUCCGGGGGGCAUGCCUGUUCGAGCGUCAUUAUAACCACUCAAGCUCUCGCUUGGUAUUGGGGUUCGCGGUUCCGCGGCCCCUAAAAUCAGUGGCGGUGCCUGUCGGCUCUACGCGUAGUAAUACUCCUCGCGAUUGAGUCCGGCAGGUCUACUUGCCAGCAACCCCCAAUUUUUACAGGUUGACCUCGGAUUAGGUAGGGAUACCCGCUGAACUUAAGCAUAUCAAUAAGCGGAGGA
rnacentral:misc_RNA from 1 species